AAAGAAAAAGAAUUAAAAAAACACAAACGUAGGAUGAGCCGCAGCCAAACUCUUGGCAUGUGAAGAAGAGCCAAUGCUGCUUCUGAGCCAAGCUCCCAACGGGGCUCUCUCCGCCAAGAGAUGCCCCUCCUCCUCCUCGCCCCUCCUUCCCUUCUCUAAGCCCAAUCCCCCUCUCUUCUCCAAAUCCCGUCCCCGCUUCCCCUCCCGGAACCCUAGACAACGGCCCCUCCACCUCGCGCUCUCCACCGCGGACGGCGCCGGCGAACCCGGCCCCUCCGCCCGCCCCCUCUCCUCCCCCUCCUUCCCCUCCGUGCCGGAGGACGAGACCGUCUCCGUCGGCGACGAUGGCGUCCCCCUCGAAGGCGUCAUCCAGUUCGAGAAGCCCAGGGCUUCCAACAAGCUCGUCUCUUGGGCGCAGGUGGGUCUUUUGGCCGGAGGGGAUGUACUGUGCCUUCUUAUCUUCUCAGCGGUUGGGAGGUUCAGCCAUGGACUCCCUGUUCUUGAUGUGGAGACCUUGCGGACUGCUGACCCUUUCGUUGCUGGGUGGAUAUUGAGCGCCUACCUUUUAGGAGGUUACGGGGAUGAUGGAAGGGGACUGAACGGUUCGAGAAAAGCUACUAUUGCUGCUGCAAAGUCUUGGGCGCUGGGAAUACCGUUAGGACUUGUCAUCAGGACAGCAACAUCAGGACAUAUGCCACCAACUGCAUUCAUGUUGAUAGCUAUGGGAAGUACUGGUGUCUUGCUGAUUGCAUGGCGAGCUCUGGUUAGCAAUCUUCUUUCUAAUAGACAAAGCAAGCAAAAUGAUGUAUACAGGAGUGGGAGCCCAUUUGAACUUUUUGAGUUGCUUACAUCAUUGGUUCGGAGGUGGUGAUUUUGAGCCUUUUCAUCAAUUCCCAAGCUAUGGUUUCUAUUUCUCCUUCAUAUCCAUUUACUACCACCUGCUGUGUCAUGAUUUUCUGUCAGAAGGAUGUCAAGCAUGCGAGUUUAUGAGCAUUGUGGAAGUUCUCAUUUUGCUUCAGGGUAAGCAGAAUACCACACACAUUGAAUGUAAGUAGACGGCAUUCAGUUGGUGGUGAAUGAAGAUUGUGGUGUAGAACCAACCAUCAAAAAUGUUUUAGGGAACAAUCAAUGUCUCUAGUUAGUCAAUGGGGCCUUUCAUAUGCAUGCAGUCUAUUUUGUGGUUUUUGUUGGCCCAUCAUGUAAGCCUACAUAUGGAUUGGAUGGCUUCCUCCAGAAAAGACAGUUUUAAGCCA